GACGAACGCUGGCGGCGUGCCUAAUACAUGCAAGUUGAGCGCUGAAGGUUGGUACUUGUACCAACUGGAUGAGCAGCGAACGGGUGAGUAACGCGUGGGGAAUCUGCCUUUGAGCGGGGGACAACAUUUGGAAACGAAUGCUAAUACCGCAUAAAAACUUUAAACACAAGUUUUAAGUUUGAAAGAUGCAAUUGCAUCACUCAAAGAUGAUCCCGCGUUGUAUUAGCUAGUUGGUGAGGUAAAGGCUCACCAAGGCGAUGAUACAUAGCCGACCUGAGAGGGUGAUCGGCCACUAUGGGACUGAGACACGGCCCAAACUCCUACGGGAGGCAGCAGUAGGGAAUCUUCGGCAAUGGACGAAAGUCUGACCGAGCAACGCCGCGUGAGUGAAGAAGGUUUUCGGAUCGUAAAACUCUGUUGGUAGAGAAGAACGUUGGUGAGAGUGGAAAGCUCAUCAAGUGACGGUAACUACCCAGAAAGGGACGGCUAACUACGUG
rnacentral:rRNA from 1 species